AGCAGGAUGAAUGCUGCACUCUCCUUGGGUUGGCUGUGUUAUGCUCCUGUGAUAUAAUGACUGUGACUUGCUUUGACCAAUCAUGACAGGAGGAUGCACUAUAAAGCUGGGCAAGGGUUACUCACCGUUCUCUUGCUGCAACGUCAGGGGCACGCCUCGCUUCCCGUUUGCCUCACUUCCUGUUUACCGUUGCUAACAGGGUCACUGUUGGGUGUCCAUAGCCACAGAGCUGAGCCGCUCGCUGGCUGCUGUAUGUCCAGUUCGAGCCGUGAGCGCUCCUGAGCCGUUACUGGCUGUUACCGUGGCUGCCGGUUGCUCCCCGUUCCCUCGUGGUGGACAAAAUUUACUGAUUGGUGGGCUGCCGUUUGUCUGGAGCUGUGCGGGCUACACGGGGUCCCAACCGUAGGAGACGCUGCUGUUUUGUCUCCGUGGGUUUGUCUCGCAGACGUGGGAGCUGUGGGCCUCCGGUGGUGGGAACUGGUGUCUUCGGGUGGUGGGAACCCCUUCCUGUGUGGCGUGCUGCUCAUCCCCUGGUUGUUGUUUUUUUUUUUUAAUUUAUUCACUCAGGUGUGUGUGUGUGUGUGCACGUGCAUGUUCACGUGUGAGUGGGGUGAUUUCUCCUGGGCUCCCUUGUGUUGCCCGUUGGCCCAAACCUCCACCAGAGAGCCCCCAGCUCUGAUUAGUCCCCAAACCCGUCAUUUAACAAUCUCGUGUGAAUGGUUGGUUUUUUAAAAUUGGUUUUAAACUGAGUAUUUUUGGUAUUAAAUAAAAUUUGUAUUCUUUUGCCUGCA